AAGAGACAGCAGUCGCCGCGGUAAUACAGAGGAUUUAAGCGUUAUCCGGAAUGAUUGGGCGUAAAGCGUCUGUAGGUGGCUUUUCAAGUCCGUCGUCAAAUCCCAGGGCUCAACCCUGGGCAGGCGGUGGAAACUACCAAGCUGGAGUACGGUAGGGGCAGAGGGAAUUUCCAGUGGAGCGGUGAAAUGCGUAGAGAUCGGAAGGAACAUCUGUGGCGAAGGCGACUAUCUGGGCCAACACUGACACUGAGGCACGAAAGCGUGGGGAGCAAACAGGAUUAGAUACCCCUGUAGUCCCUGUCUCUUAUAC
rnacentral:rRNA from 1 species